UUAAGUGACUAAGCGUACACGGUGGAUGCCUGGGCAGUCAGAGGCGAUGAAGGACGUACUAACUUGCGAUAAGCGCAGAUAAGGCAGUAAGAGCCGUUUGAGUCUGCGAUUUCCGAAUGGGGAAACCCAACUGCAUAAGCAGUUACUGUUAACUGAAUACAUAGGUUAACAGAGCAAACCGGGGGAACUGAAACAUCUAAGUACCCCGAGGAGAAGAAAUCAACCGAGAUUCCGGUAGUAGCGGCGAGCGAACCUGGAUUAGCCCUUAAGCACUCGGUGAAGUAGGUGAACAAGCUGGAAAGCUUGGCGAUACAGGGUGAUAGCCCCGUAACCGACGCUUCAUCGAGCGUGAAAUCGAGUAGGGCGGGACACGUGAUAUCCUGUCUGAAUAUGGGGGGACCAUCCUCCAAGGCUAAAUACUCCUGACUGACCGAUAGUGAACCAGUACCGUGAGGGAAAGGCGAAAAGAACCCCUGUGAGGGGAGUGAAAUAGAACCUGAAACCGUGUACGUACAAGCAGUAGGAGCACCUUCGUGGUGUGACUGCGUACCUUUUGUAUAAUGGGUCAGCGACUUAUAUUCAGUGGCAAGGUUAACCGUAUAGGGGAGCCGUAGCGAAAGCGAGUCUUAACUGGGCGCUCAGUCUCUGGAUAUAGACCCGAAACCGGGUGAUCUAGCCAUGGGCAGGUUGAAGGUUGAGUAACAUCAACUGGAGGACCGAACCGACUAAUGUUGAAAAAUUAGCGGAUGACUUGUGGCUAGGGGUGAAAGGCCAAUCAAACUCGGAGAUAGCUGGUUCUCCCCGAAAGCUAUUUAGGUAGCGCCUCGGACGAAUACUACUGGGGGUAGAGCACUGUUAAGGCUAGGGGGUCAUCCCGACUUACCAACCCUUUGCAAACUCCGAAUACCAGUAAGUACUAUCCGGGAGACACACGGCGGGUGCUAACGUCCGUCGUGGAGAGGGAAACAACCCAGACCGCCAGCUAAGGUCCCAAAGUAUUGCUAAGUGGGAAACGAUGUGGGAAGGCUCAGACAGCUAGGAUGUUGGCUUAGAAGCAGCCAUCAUUUAAAGAAAGCGUAAUAGCUCACUAGUCGAGUCGGCCUGCGCGGAAGAUGUAACGGGGCUAAGCAAUACACCGAAGCUGCGGCAAUGUCUUUUAGACAUUGGGUAGGGGAGCGUUCUGUAAGCCGUUGAAGGUGAAUCGUAAGGUUUGCUGGAGGUAUCAGAAGUGCGAAUGCUGACAUGAGUAACGACAAAGGGGGUGAAAAACCUCCUCGCCGGAAGACCAAGGGUUCCUGUCCAACGUUAAUCGGGGCAGGGUGAGUCGACCCCUAAGGUGAGGCCGAAAGGCGUAAUCGAUGGGAAACGGGUUAAUAUUCCCGUACUUCUGACUAUUGCGAUGGGGGGACGGAGAAGGCUAGGUGGGCCAGGCGACGGUUGUCCUGGUUCAAGUGCGUAGGCUUGAGAGUUAGGUAAAUCCGGCUCUCUCUAAGGCUGAGACACGACGUCGAGCUACUACGGUAGUGAAGUCAUUGAUGCCAUGCUUCCAGGAAAAGCCUCUAAGCUUCAGAUAGUCAGGAAUCGUACCCCAAACCGACACAGGUGGUCGGGUAGAGAAUACCAAGGCGCUUGAGAGAACUCGGGUGAAGGAACUAGGCAAAAUGGUACCGUAACUUCGGGAGAAGGUACGCUCUUGAUGGUGAAGUCCCUCGCGGAUGGAGCUGACGAGAGUCGCAGAUACCAGGUGGCUGCAACUGUUUAUUAAAAACACAGCACUGUGCAAAAUCGCAAGAUGACGUAUACGGUGUGACGCCUGCCCGGUGCCGGAAGGUUAAUUGAUGGGGUUAGCGCAAGCGAAGCUCUUGAUCGAAGCCCCGGUAAACGGCGGCCGUAACUAUAACGGUCCUAAGGUAGCGAAAUUCCUUGUCGGGUAAGUUCCGACCUGCACGAAUGGCGUAAUGAUGGCCACGCUGUCUCCACCCGAGACUCAGUGAAAUUGAAAUCGCUGUGAAGAUGCAGUGUACCCGCGGCUAGACGGAAAGACCCCGUGAACCUUUACUACAGCUUGGCACUGAACAUUGAACCUACAUGUGUAGGAUAGGUGGGAGGCUAUGAAGACGUGACGCCAGUUGCGUUGGAGCCGUCCUUGAAAUACCACCCUUGUAUGUUUGAUGUUCUAACUUAGACCCAUUAUCUGGGUUGAGGACAGUGCCUGGUGGGUAGUUUGACUGGGGCGGUCUCCUCCCAAAGAGUAACGGAGGAGCACGAAGGUGGGCUAAUCACGGUUGGACAUCGUGAGGUUAGUGCAAUGGCAUAAGCCCGCUUAACUGCGAGAAUGACGGUUCGAGCAGGUGCGAAAGCAGGUCAUAGUGAUCCGGUGGUUCUGUAUGGAAGGGCCAUCG
rnacentral:rRNA from 1 species